rnacentral:lncRNA from 1 species
GCCAAAACCCUAAUGACCAAAAAUCAUCAAAUUGAAAAGGAGAUCAAGGGCAAAUCGAAUGCAUGGGUUUAGAUACUCUUUAAUCUAAGUGUAUUGAUCAUAAGAUUGUAUGAAUUUGAGUUUUCAUGUCAACAUGAGCACAAAUAAGGAAGUGCCACGGGUAGAAGGUAAACACGGAAGCUAAGUGCAAAUUCGGACGCGCGAGUCAUGUCAACAUGAGCACAAAU